UGCUAAAGGUCGUAUUCCAGAGAUGCUCAUCUCAGGAGUAGUGAAAAGACUGAAGUUCUGAAUCUACAAAGGAGAAGGAUUCAUAUCAUAUCACAUUUUAUUUGUGAGAAAGUUCACAGAACAUGAAAAUAUAUUAAUACAGUGGACAUCCUUCUGCAUAUAUAAACAUAACCGUGCCCCAUGAAAUGAAAAUACACAUGGAAGGACACUGGUCAUCUGAUUUAAGUCACAAACAUGAAUUACCACAUCGCCCAGGAUUUUGCACUUUAGAGCAUAACAACAAAAUACAAUGUAAGUAAAAUAUGACAUUCUGAAAAUCAGGAGAAAAGUCCCUUUGUGAAGGACAUGUGAGAAAGGGAAUCCCACUGGGCCAGAGAUCUUUGCUGAUGCACAACAACUUUAGGAAAUGGGAGACUUGGAACAUAAAGAUGUAGUCUUUUAUAUGCUUUGAACUUU
rnacentral:lncRNA from 12 species